rnacentral:lncRNA from 1 species
UUUUAGCAGGAUAUGUAAUCACUGAAUUUUGUCCGACUCGAUUUCGUUUUUUUUAAAAAAAUUCAAAAAAAUACAAAAAUAAAAAAAUUACAUUUUGACCCCUAAAAUUUUUGAAACUUCACUUUAACCCCUCAACUUUUUAAAAUUACAUUUUGACCCUAAAUUUUUCUCAAAAUUACACUUUAACCCCAUAAGUUUUGCUGUGUUUGCAAUUUGGUCCGUCUGGCAUCCGACAGUGCAAGUUGCGCACCUACACUGCGACAGCCGACCUAAAGCAUGGCCUCUCUCUCCCCUAGCCACCUGCUACCUGCAAAAAAGAAGAAAAAUCAACAAUUUAAAAGGGUUUUCGAACCCCCAAUUCAGCAGCCAAGAAGAGGAGAGCAAAGAAAAAAAAUAAAAUUUUUUAAGCAAAAAAGAAGCAAAAACAGCAGCGAAAGGAGGUCACCGCCGUCAUCGUGCCCGCGCCACCGCACUUGUCGCCGCCCCAAUACCUAGUAAAGCAAAGCAAAGAUACAAAAAAGUAAAAAAAAAAUAGCAAACAAAGAAGAAAAAAAGAGCAAAGAAAGAAAAGAAAAAGAAGAAAAUAGGGGAGAGGAGAGCUCGUCCGCCACCGCCGACCGUUGCAUCGGGCUGGGAGGAGCACCGUCGGGGGCUGAUCGAGAAAGAAAGAAAGGAAGGAAAGAAGAAGAAAGAAAGAAGAAAAAGAAAGAAGAAAAUGGGAAGAAGAAGGAAGAAAAAAAGAAAAAGAAAAAAGAAAAUAAUUUUUUUUAAAUCGGGCUGACCCGACCCGACCUGGCCGACCCGAGAACCCGACCCGCAGCAGCAGNN